GACGAACGCUGGCGGCGUGCCUAAUACAUGCAAGUCGAACGCAGUGGGGACGGGUGAGUAACACGUGGGUAACCUCCCAUCAGAGGGGAUAACACUUGGAAACAGGUGCUAAACCGAUACUGAUGGAUGGACCCGCGGUGCAUUAGCUAGUUGGUGAGGUAAAGGCCUACCAAGGCGACGAUCCGUAACUGGUCUGAGAGGAUGAUCAGUCACACUGGAACUGAGACACGGUCCAGACUCCUACGGGAGGCAGCAGUGGGGAAUAUUGGACAAUGGACGAAAGUCUGACGGAGCAACGCCGCGUGAGUGAUGACGGCCUUCGGGUUGUAAAGCUCUGUUAAUCGGGACGCGGUACCGGAAUAGAAAGCCACGGCUAACUACGUGCCAGCAGCCGCGGUAAUAC
rnacentral:rRNA from 1 species